rnacentral:rRNA from 1 species
UACGGAGGGGGCGAGCGUUAUUCGGAAUUAUUGGGCGUAAAGGGCGCGUAGGCGGCUUGGCAAGUCAAAGGUGAAAUCCCUCGGCUCAACUGAGGAACUGCCUUUGAAACUGCCUGGCUUGAGGCCGGGAGGGGGUAGCGGAAUUCCCAGUGUAGCGGUGAAAUGCGUAGAUAUUGGGAGGAACACCAGUGGCGAAGGCGGCUACCUGGACCGGUUCUGACGCUGAGGUGCGAAAGCGUGGGGAGCAAACAGG